rnacentral:misc_RNA from 1 species
GAUGAAGAACGCAGCGAAAUGCGAUACGUAAUGUGAAUUGCAGAAUUCAGUGAAUCAUCGAAUCUUUGAACGCAUAUUGCGCUCUCUGGUAUUCCGGAGAGCAUGCUUGUUUGAGUAUCAGUAAACACCUCAACUUCCAUAUCUUUUUUGAAAUGGGAGUUGGACUUGAGUGAUCCCAACGCUUUUCCUCACCGAAAAGCGGCGGGUUACUUGAAAUGCAGGUGCAGCUGGACUUUUCUAUGAGCUAUAAGCAUAUCUAUUUAGUCUGCCUAAAAAACAGAUUAUUACCUUUGCUGCAGCUAACAUAAAGGAGAUUAGUUCUUGUGCUGACUGAUGCAGGAUUCACAAAGACAGGCUUCGGCCGACUUUGUAAACUCGAUCUCAAAUCAAGUAAGACUACCCGCUGAACUUAAGCAUAUCAAUAAGCGGAGGA